GCGGGCAUCGUAUAAUGGCUAUUACCUCAGCAUUCCAAGCUGAUGAUGCGGGUUCGAUUCCCGCUGCCCGCUCCA
rnacentral:tRNA from 1 species